rnacentral:rRNA from 1 species
GACAGAGGCCUCAAGCGUUAGGCGGAGUCACUGGGCUUAAAGCGUGUGUAGGCGGAUCGUUAAGUGUCUUGUGAAAUCCCACGGCUCACCCGUGGAACGGCUGGGCAUACUGGCGAUCUUGGGCCAACUAGGGGCAACUGGAACAAGCGGUGGAGCGGUGAAAUGCGUAGAUAUCGCUUGGAACGCCGAAGGUGAAAACAGGUUGCUGGGGUUGUGCCGACGCUGAGACACGAAAGCCAGGGGAGCAAACGGG